AUGAACGCUGGCGGCGUGCCUCAUACAUGCAAGUCGAGCGAACGGACGAGAAGCUUGCUUCUCUGAUGUUAGCGGCGGACGGGUGAGUAACACGUGGAUAACCUACCUAUAAGACUGGGAUAACUUCGGGAAACCGGAGCUAAUACCGGAUAAUAUUUUGAACCGCAUGGUUCAAAAGUGAAAGACGGUCUUGCUGUCACUUAUAGAUGGAUCCGCGCUGCAUUAGCUAGUUGGUAAGGUAACGGCUUACCAAGGCAACGAUGCAUAGCCGACCUGAGAGGGUGAUCGGCCACACUGGAACUGAGACACGGUCCAGACUCCUACGGGAGGCAGCAGUAGGGAAUCUUCCGCAAUGGGCGAAAACCUGACGGAGCAACGCCGCGUGAGUGAUGAAGGUCUUCGGAUCGUAAAACUCUGUUAUUAGGGAAGAACAUAUGUGUAAGUAACUGUGCACAUCUUGACGGUACCUAAUCAGAAAGCCACGGCUAACUACGUG
rnacentral:rRNA from 1 species